rnacentral:rRNA from 1 species
GAUGAACGCUGGCGGCGUGCCUAAUACAUGCAAGUCGAGCGAACAGAUGAGGAGCUUGCUCCUCUGACGUUAGCGGCGGACGGGUGAGUAACACGUGGAUAACCUACCUAUAAGACUGGGAUAACUUCGGGAAACCGGAGCUAAUACCGGAUAAUAUAUUGAACCGCAUGGUUCAAUAGUGAAAGACGGUUUUGCUGUCACUUAUAGAUGGAUCCGCGCCGCAUUAGCUAGUUGGUAAGGUAACGGCUUACCAAGGCAACGAUGCGUAGCCGACCUGAGAGGGUGAUCGGCCACACUGGAACUGAGACACGGCCCAGACUCCUACGGGAGGCAGCAGUAGGGAAUCUUCCGCAAUGGGCGAAAGCCUGACGGAGCAACGCCGCGUGAGUGAUGAAGGUCUUCGGAUCGUAAAACUCUGUUAUUAGGGAAGAACAAAUGUGUAAGUAACUAUGCACGUCUUGACGGUACCUAACCAGAAAGCCACGGCUAACUACGUG